UACGAAGGGUGCAAGCGUUGUUCGGAAUUACUGGGCGUAAAGGGUGUGUAGGCGGCCUGAUAAGAUAGCGGUGAAAUGCCGAGGCUCAACCUCGGAACUGCCGUUAUAACUAUUUGGCUAGAAUGACAGAGAGGAUACUGGAAUACCCAGUGUAGAGGUGAAAUUCGUAGAUAUUGGGUAGAACACCGGUGGCGAAGGCGAGUAUCUGGCUGUAAAUUGACGCUGAGGCACGAAAGCAUGGGGAUCAAAC
rnacentral:rRNA from 1 species